rnacentral:rRNA from 1 species
UACAGAGGUCUCAAGCGUUGUUCGGAUUCAUUGGGCGUAAAGGGUGCGUAGGUGGUGGGGUAAGUCGGAUGUGAAAUCCCGGGGCUCAACCCCGGAACUGCAUUCGAAACUGCCUUGCUCGAGUACUGGAGAGGAGACUGGAAUUUACGGUGUAGCAGUGAAAUGCGUAGAUAUCGUAAGGAAGACCAGUGGCGAAGGCGAGUCUCUGGACAGUUACUGACACUGAGGCGCGAAAGCUAGGGGAGCAAACAGG